AUGCUGUUAGAGCUUAAUAAUUUAUUUUAAAUUGGAAUAGCUCAAGGGAAUUCUUGUUGUAAUGGCAAAAUAACAGAGGUUCCAUCUGAUAACUCCCACUCAGAAGUACUUACCUAGUUUUGCAAAUGGUAGGGUUAGGUGCUUCAGGACAUCUCUGCUUUCUGUGGUGUUGCAUUGGAAUGAGAAUCCUCCUUCACCUGAUCCUGGAGUCCUGGCUCGCCCGAGCAUCCAUGCUGCCCCAGCCUGCCUGUGCAUGAGCCCUAAGUCUUGCACGUGGAGAAGAGGGAGAAAUCAGCUCACAUCCAGAUUCUCCUUCAGCCAUUUGGCCACAUAAACUCCUGUCCCUACUUGAACGCAGUCCUGUAAAGCAACAAAGAUGUGGCACUUGUGAGUCUGGUAACAAAGAGCAUGGAAAUGAAGCACCAAACUGCCAUCCUCCCAAGAGGUGCAGCAGCAGCACUCCACAUUGGUACUUUCAGCCAGAAAUAUUUGGCUUGCAGGUGUUUGGCUUUCUGAUGAAUAGCCCUGAUUUUCUACAGAAAGCAGAUACUUUUUUCUGGAAAAAAUAUUCUCACAAAAUCCAAUUUUCCCUUUAAAGAACAGAUGGCAAUGGAAAAUUUUUAACCUAUAAGAUGAAGCAACAUGUGUGAUUUUUCUUCUCCCCAGAAGUUCUUUUCUGCAUAUCUAUUGACUUGCCUUGCUACAGAAAAUUGCACUAAAUCUUGCUGGCUCUGAUCCUAAAACUUGCCCACUUUCCCAAGCUCUAUCAACAGAGUUAUUAAAGAAAGAUGUUUCCUCACUGUUUCUCAUUUUCUGAGCUCAUUACAGGAAGGACAACAUACCUCUGUACUACAUGUCACUGGAUAUGAUGGCCACGGUCCUGUGCCAGCCAGCUGAAAAAAAAGGCUGCUCAUAAGAACCCGCAGAAACAAAGGACACCGAACAGGUCACCAGGAAAGAGCAUAUCCCUUUGCUAAGGAUCGCUGAUGAACAGACAGGAUGGUGAAACAGGAGGAAAAGCCACAGGGACAGAUGGAAGCGUGGAGCCAAAAGAACCAGGAAGAGGAGGAGGAAAAGAAAGGCAAGGAGAGAGCUAGUGGGAAAUUAUGGGGACUGAGGGACAUGUUAAGUUUUUGGGACAAUAAAUAGACAAGGGGAAUUGUCCUGCAUCACUGAGGAUAUGGUGGUUUUUAAAAGCGAUGGCAUUAAGCCAGAAAGGGGAAUGGUUCUUGUAGAAAUGUGGUAAAGAGGAUGGGUAAGA
rnacentral:lncRNA from 1 species